CCGUCCCGCGGGGCGAAGCGCUCCGUGCGGAGGCUCCGCGACCGCCCCCGCAGCCCCCGCCCUGUCGCGCUCGGGUUACCCUCCGCCUGCGAGCCUCUCCUGUUACGAUGCCCGCGGCGGGCGGGAGGGGAGGGAGCCGGGCCCGGGGGGGCCGAGCCCCGUCGAGAAGGGAAGGAACGCGGCCCCGCGGCUCGCCUCCGAGGAGCGCGCAGGGUGGGAGCUCCACUCCGCCGGCAGCUCCGGGGCUUUCCAAGCCGCCGGUAAGGCAAGAGCACACUGAACAGCACACAUUGCAACAUUGACUCUUGCAGAACUCUACACCAUCCAGCACCUCCCUCCAUUGCCUGCUUUAUGUGUUUGUGAACUGAAAAGGUAUUAUCUCCAGUAUCACCUCAUUUCUCCUCCAAUGACUGAUGAAUUUACAUCCCAAGACUGUGCUGAACAUGUUGGAAAAAUUGACAAAAACAGAUCCUGAGAUUAGUAGGAGCCUUGGAGAACAUCAAGGAACUGCUACUGUGUAUCUGAACUUCUGCUUGCAGGAGACUGCAAAACUGAGGAUGUUUUUCUGUGUAUGCUGCCUGUGGACAUGAGGACUAGUCACUGAAGCCAGUGGUAACAGCAGAUGCUCAGCAUCUCUGACAACUGGGCCACAUGCUUAUGUGAGACCUUGUUAUUAUACAAAAAGGCUCUUAUUCCUACUCUUUUUUAUCUCUGCCAUAUAAGCUGACCUAGUUUACAAUCUGCCUCUGUACAGAUGUGUGCUCUUCCAUGGGCAGAAAGAGGGUGGAACCAUUGCCAACCAAGAGUGCCUGGAGUUAGAACGGGAAGAGACACAGGGCAACUCAGGAUGGGGAGAUAAAGAGAAGGAAAUGAAAGACAAAGAUGUUUGGAGGAAAGGAGAGAGAAAUAGGGAGAGAAAGGAGUGAAGCUGUAUCUGCUGCUCCUGCUUUAUCCAGGAGACAUAGGAGUUACUCAGAGUCUUUGCUUUGGGACCCUGUCAGUAUAUGGGAGCCUGGUUUCAGUGAGGCAGAGUUUUUUAUUGUUAUGCAGUGAACCUUCAAAUGGAGAAUAAUUCAAAGAGGAUACUUCUUCCUGUUAGAAUUUUUUUCAGGCUGCUGUUUACAGCCCAGCACACUAUUCUUGUUCUCUGUGAGCUCUAAAAUAUCCUGAGACCAAUGCAGAAUAAAGAAAGGAAGGAAAAUUCUGUGAUAAUGAUGCUGAAUCUGCCAGGCACUUUUAUAUCAUGUAUUAAAUGAAAUGCAGUCCUGAAAAGUGAUGUUUGAUAUGGUAGUCUCCACACUGAAUUCUACUGAAUAUGAAAAAUGAGUUUUGCUUAGGAUGCAGAUUUUUUAAGGGUCUUAGACUGGCUGUCAGAAAUUUUGUGAUUAAAUUAAUUUUCCUUUUCUUGUGGUUCUGGUUAUUUCUCUGACUGCAGGAAAACAUGCAGAUGAGCUGGAUGAGAGAAUGCACCAGCUUUUAAUAAUA